rnacentral:rRNA from 1 species
GACGAACCGUGCGAACGUUAUUCGGAAUCACUGGCUUAAAGCGCGUGUAGGCGGGGCGGCACGUCGGUCGGCUGAAAGCCCCCGGCUCAACCGGGGAAGUGGCGCCGAUACGACCGCCCUGGAGGGACGUAGGGGGACCUGGAACUUCCGGUGGAGCGGUGAAAUGCGUUGAGAUCGGAAGGAACGCCCGUGGCGAAGGCGACUACCUGGCCUGUUCUUGACGCUGAGGCGCGAAAGCUAGGGGAGCAACGGG